AUAAUAGUAAUCAAAACCUGAACUUUGGCUGGUCCAAUGCACUCUCUGCUUCGGUGGCCUUGCAAGCCCCACCCUCACCACAGAUGGCUGUUUGGGGUCAGAAUUCAAUCCUGAUGGGCUCACCCAGAGUAGGAUUCUGGGCAGAUGUAUUUGUGACUAGUGUGGACAAACACUUGCAAACAAGUACACAAUUUCUUCUUGGACACUCAGAGAAGAGGGGAGUUUUUGCUUUAUGGAUGUAGUAGUUUACACUUGUGAUAGAAUCUGCAAAUGUAAGCCCAAGAUUGUUUGCAGAGCUGCUGUUUGGAAUCAAGCAGGGUUACAUGGCACUGACCUAGUCAGAGUUUGAAGUAAAGUAGCCAAUAAAUGUGUAAAAGGUUUACAGAUCAUCAGCAGCACCUUGAUUUACACCAUUUCUUGCCAUAGAGCUGUUCCUUUCUGAACAUUCUGCUGCAGGUGUAAACUACCUCAUCCAUUCACCCACGCCAAAAGACUUUAUAUGUCUGCAUUUUAGGCUAAUUUCCUCCCCAACACAGAUGCAAUCUAUGUACUCAGUGGCCUCCUGCUUCAUCAGGUGCUAAAAAUUUUAAUCUCCUCUUGCCUUGCUGCCCAAACCUUCACCCUCCUUAAUGAUACAUAAGUAUGUGCUGUCACUCCUUCCUUGCAAUUUAUUGCAUAGAGUGAAAUCUGGAAAAUUUAUCUGUCUCCCUUUAUUUUCAGUGUCUCUGUGGGCUGCUCCUAACAGGUAAUUAGUCAUCACAUCUCACUUCACCCCACAGAAAGAGCUGGAGGGCCCAAAUGCAAGAAACCAAGAAGUGCAAAAUGGUCCAAAAAUUGUGAACAGUAAUUUGUCAGGGCAGACAUGGAAAUCCUGAAAUAUUAAUAAAAUUAACCUUUUAAAUUUGAUGAAGCUGAACGCAAUGCAUCAGAAGAAGCCAUCAAAAAUUGCUUUAGUUUCCUGGAUACGAAAAAAACAGUAGUUUUGUUGGUGACCUGUGUGUGAGAUACUCCCCAAGGAAAAGGGAAAUUGCUGGAAUCAGAGAUCAGUUAUAGGAGGUGAAAGAGGAAGAUUCAUGUUAAAGAUAUGAAACAAAGUAGAGGGACCUCAGGCCACAUGUGAAAUUUAAAAAAAAAAGAUUGGGUGUAAAUUUAUUUGAUGGUGUAACUAAAAAGCAGGUGUUCCCAAGUGUGCCUCCUUCAAAGCCCUCCCGCCUGAUACCCACGAUAGCUGAUCACACAGGUGGAGAGACUCUCACAGACACAGCAAAGUGCCCAAAAGCACUUGCACAAAUACUGUUCGUCCUGAGAGGACCAAGGACAAAUGUUUUUAUGGUUUGUGAAACCUUUGUCACUCCUACUCUGUCUGAUGGAGUAUCAUGUUCCUGGAGGUGCCUCCCACCAUGGCAGUGGUAGCAGAGACCAUCUUUUGGGAUGCCAACAGGAAAAACAACUCCAGAGCGUCUUGGAUGACAUUGCUAUCCUCAUAUUCCUUUGCAAUAACAGCAAGCCAGCCACAGCAAGACUGCCAGAUGUCCCCAGAGGGAUAUGGGCUGAGAUUUGAGCCAGAUGCAGAGCAAGGAGCAUCUCUGGUUGCUCCACACCUACCUUCAGUUUAGCUAUGAGAUCCUGACGAUCUCGGGUGUCAGAAGGAGCAUAGCAGGUUUGUAGGAGUCAAUGCAAAGUUCCCAGCUGGCUGGAAAGUUCUCUCUUAGGCAUUAUUAUCUGUUUAGCAAAGUUGCCCCUGUGGUUUCACCUCUGUGUGUCAUUCUUCACUUGGUCAGGAAUGAGGCCUCUUAGCAGUGGCUAAAUAUUCUCAGAACAAGGCCCUGAGCAAACAUCCAUUCAAGAAUAAUAAAAAAAUUGCCUCUGACAGCAAGCAAAGUGCAUGAGUAGCCCCCUUCCUGUGAAUUUAGGUUCUGUACAUGUGACUUUUCUUUAUGCCUGUUUUGUAACUCUGGUGUUUGUAUGACUUUCACGGGACCCAUGCAGUGAUUUUUGUCUACUGUUUUAAAUCAGACUUUGUAUAUAAGUUGCAUUUCUUCAUUGUAUCAGGAAAUAUUUUAAAAUUUUUUAAUAACUGUCAAAAUAGCAGGACAUCAAUUAACUUGUGUUUACCCCAUAGGGGAUGAUUCCUACUUGAUGUUUACUACCAGCUGAUGCUAAUGAAUAUGCUUUGUUCUUGUCUCACUUUACAGUGGAACAACUGACAUAAUGCUAGCUCAAAAUCAGCUUUUUGGACACAACUGGGAGUGGAAGCCAAGAAAACUCUUCAUGAAAUAGUUAUCUGUGAAGAUGCAGACAAAUAGCUCCUAGCAGAGAUGAAUUGCCAUUAGGCAGCAAAACAGGAGUUUUACAAUUCAUGAAGAUUUCCUUUACAUUUUUUUCUUUAGGAGGUACCCAAGGCAGCCUAACAAGCACUGCAGAAGGAAAAAAUAAAAACAGGUAAUUCUAGAGGUUGAGGUUUUAUACACAGUGAGAGAGAAAUUCUGGCAUGUUAAAGGCACACAUUACUGUGCUAUACGUAACCCCUGGGAGAUGAACUGGGUGCUUGCUGGAUAGAUUGUGCAUAAAAGCUGAAGCUGUUUAACUGAAAUUAAUAAUGCAUAUAGAAAAAAAUGACUGGAAAACUGUGGCCAGAGGGUGAGCAAACUGCUGGCCUACAUGCACAUCUGAGUGAAUUUUGUUGGUCUAUGUUAUAUUUUAAGUGAAGAGCAAAAUAUUUUACAGACAAAUAAAACCCAACCAAAAGUCCAAACCUUCAUUUUAUACUCUCUACCACUCUGUCUCCGAUGCUGCAAUAAAAGGGCUACAGCCUCUGCACUCAUAUAGUCCUUUCCCAAAUUUAAAGCCAUUAGGUUUUAUCUUUCUAUAUUUUCCUUUUGAGAAUAGGCAUCUUUUACCACCAGAAACCCUCAGUUUAGCUCAACAUCCAUUUCAGUAUUGACUGAUCCUGAAGUCAUCUAUUCCAGGCCAGAAAAGCAAU